GACGAACGCUGGCGGCGUGCUUAACACAUGCAAGUCGAGCGGAAAGGUCAUUCGGUGUACUCGUUCGGGGAACGGGUGAGUAACACGUGAGUAACUUGCUCUAGUCUUUGGGAUAACCGUCGGAAACGGGGGCUCAUACCGUAUACUCCUUCUACAUCGUGAGCCUUGGGGUGCUACGGUUCUCGGUCUGGGAUGGACUAGUGGUCGAUGAGCCAGUGGGGGGGGUAAUGGCUGACGAAGGAAAGGACGGGUAGCCGACCUGAGAGGGGGACCGGGCACACUGGGACUGAGAGACGGACCAGACUCCUACGGGAGGCAGCAGUGGGGAAUAUUGCACAAUGGGCGGAAGCCAGAUGCAGCGACGCCGCGUGAGGGAUGCCGGCCUUCGGGUUAUAAACAUCUUCCAGCGGGGACGAAGCGUAAGUGACGGUACCUGCAGAAGAAGCGCCGGCCAACUACGUG
rnacentral:rRNA from 1 species